rnacentral:rRNA from 1 species
UCAUUACCGAGUGAGGGCCCUCUGGGUCCAACCUCCCACCCGUGUUUAUCGUACCUUGUUGCUUCGGCGGGCCCGCCUCACGGCCGCCGGGGGGCUUCUGCCCUCUGGCCCGCGCCCGCCGAAGACACCAUUGAACGCUGUCUGAAGAUUGCAGUCUGAGCAAUUAGCUAAAUAAGUUAAAACUUUCAACAACGGAUCUCUUGGUUCCGGCAUCGAUGAAGAACGCAGCGAAAUGCGAUACGUAAUGUGAAUUGCAGAAUUCAGUGAAUCAUCGAGUCUUUGAACGCACAUUGCGCCCCCUGGUAUUCCGGGGGGCAUGCCUGUCCGAGCGUCAUUGCUGCCCUCAAGCACGGCUUGUGUGUUGGGCCUCCGUCCUCCUUCCGGGGGGACGGGCCCGAAAGGCAGCGGCGGCACCGCGUCCGGUCCUCGAGCGUAUGGGGCUUCGUCACCCGCUCUUGUAGGCCCGGCCGGCGCUUGCCGACACAUCAAUCUUUUUUCCAGGUUGACCUCGGAUCAGGUAGGGAUACCCGCUGAACUUAAGC